rnacentral:rRNA from 1 species
UACGAAGGGGGCUAGCGUUGUGCGGAAUUACUGGGCGUAAAGCGUAUGCAGGCGGAUCGUUAAGUCGGGGGUGAAAUCCCGAGGCUCAACCUCGGAACUGCCUUCGAUACUGGCGACCUUCGAGUCCGGGAGAGGUGAGUGGAACUCCGAGUGUAGAGGUGAAAUUCGUAGAUAUUCGGAAGAACACCAGUGGCGAAGGCGGCUCACUGGCCCGGUACUGACGCUGAGAUACGAAAGCGUGUGGAGCAAACAGG